rnacentral:rRNA from 1 species
GUGCAGCAGUCGCGAAAACUCCGCAAUACGCGAAAGCGUGACGGGGCUACCCCGAGUGUCGUCCGCUGAGGAUGGCUUUUCUCUGCUGUAAGAAGGCAGAGGAAUAAGGAGAGGGCAAGUCUGGUGUCAGCCGCCGCGGUAAUACCAGCUCUCCGAGUGGUAGGGAUGAUUAUUGGGCUUAAAGCGUCCGUAGCUGGCCUUUCAAGUCUCCCGUUAAAUCCAACGAUUCAAUCGUUGGACUGCGGGAGAUACUGUUGAGCUAGGAGGCGGGAGAGGCCGACGGUAUUCCCGGAGUAGGGGUGAAAUCUUAUAAUUCCGGGAGGACCACCAGUGGCGAAGGCUGUCGGCUAGAACGCGCUCGACGGUGAGGGACGAAAGCUGGGGGAGCGAACCGGAUUAGAUACCCGCGUAGUCC